GAUCAACGCUGGCGGCGUGCAUGAGACAUGCAAGUCGAACGGACGCUUACGGGCUUGCCUGUAAGCGUUAGUGGCGGACGGCUGAGUAACGCGUAGGUGACCUGCCCCGAAGUGGGGAAUAACUGCCCGAAAGGGUGGCUAAUACCGCAUGUGGUGGUGCGUUCGAUCGCACCAGUAAAGCCGCAAGGCGCUUCGGGAGGGGCCUGCGUCCGAUUAGCUCGUUGGUGGGGUAACGGCUCACCAAGGCGACGAUCGGUAGGUGGUCUGAGAGGACGAUCACCCAGACUGGGACUGAGACACGGCCCAGACUCCUACGGGAGGCAGCAGUCGGGAAUUUUGCGCAAUGGACGAAAGUCUGACGCAGCAACGCCGCGUGAGGGAUGACGGCCUUCGGGUUGUAAACCUCUUUUGUCAGGGACGAUUAUGACGGUACCUGACGAAUAAGCCACGGCUAACUACGUGCCAGCCGCCGCAGUAAAAC
rnacentral:rRNA from 1 species